rnacentral:rRNA from 1 species
UACAGAGGGGGCAAGCGUUAUUCGGAAUUAUUGGGCGUAAAGGGCGCGUAGGCGGCCAUUCAAGUGACGGGUGAAAGCCCUCGGCUUAACCGAGGAACUGCCUGUCAGACUGGAUGGCUUGAGACCGGGAGAGGUGAGUGGAAUUCCCAGUGUAGCGGUGAAAUGCGUAGAUAUUGGGAGGAAUACCAGUGGCGAAGGCGGCUCACUGGACCGGAACUGACGCUGAGGCGCGAAAGCGUGGGGAGCAAACAGG